rnacentral:lncRNA from 1 species
GAGCGUGACCAAGGCAAGAAGUCACUUGGAUGUCUAUCCACUCGUCAGUGACUUGCUUGAUGUUGCAGUAGUGUGACUGGUCCUUUGAUCUGCGGUGCUUCGGCUACUCACAGUGAGGUUAUUGUAGUUUGACUGCACACAUAUAUGGUCUCUAGCCAUAUGGGUCCAUGCAGUGUAGAUUGGCUGCAGUAGGUUCACUGUAGGAGUAUGGUAUGCACCUAUAAGGAAUCUAUCGACCUUGAUAGAUAAGGAAAGAUCCUAUGUGAUUUAUAAGACUGAGUUCGUAAGACCUCGGCCGGGGCAGUAUGCACAGUGGAGAAAGAGUUUUCCACUCUGGAACUUAAGUCAAAUAAAUCUUGACAUAUGACAGACGAUGGGGUUUGACGAGUUGUCCAUGACCUCCGUCCUGUAGGGAUCCUCGAUAGUAGGACUGUAUC